GCUGGAUCUGCAGAGAAAUGAACUAAGCAGAUGGAGAUGAAAUUGGAGAAGAGGUCCAGGUACCUGGUGGUGAAGACCAAAGCGAAAAGAAUCUGGCUCUUCCCAGAGAUGCCUGUGCAGAACAAACAAGAAGCCAUGAGAACAUAACCUUCAGUGUAGCCAGCCAGGAGCAGCUAUCUCUGCCCUCCCCAGCCCUAAGUCACUGGAGUCCCUGUGCCUCUUUGUUGAGCUAUGAUCUGUCUCCAAAUAAAGAUUCGAACA